GACACCUGAAACCACAACAAAGUUUCCAAAGAUCGCUGAAUACUUGCAGAUAACAUGAUUGCAACGAUAUAUGACGCAUUAUUUGUGUUCUUCAAGCCAUGCAGAUAACUUCAUAAUAUAUUACAUUUAUAAUUUGAUAGCCUACAGUGUCAACAGAAGUGAAAACGGAUCAAAGAAAUUGAAGUGGUCAGCCUCAGCCCCUCUGUGGGUGUGUUUAUUCUAAAGUGGCCAGCAUUAUUCACUGAAGCUCAG